UACGAAGGGGGGCUAGCGUUGUUCGGAAUCACUGGGCGUAAAGCGCACGUAGGCGGAUCUUUAAGUCAGAGGUGAAAUCCCAAGGCUCAACCUUGGAACUGCCUUUGAUACUGGGGAUCUUGAGUCCGGGAGAGGUGAGUGGAACUGCGAGUGUAGAGGUGAAAUUCGUAGAUAUUAGGAAGAACACCAGUGGCGAAGGCGGCUCACUGGUCCGGUACUGACGCUGAGGUGCGAAAGCGUGGGGAGCAAACAGG
rnacentral:rRNA from 1 species